UGUUUUCUGGUGCUGCUUCCUCCUUCUUUUUAACCAGCGCGCGAGAAGCGGAGCGAGCGCUGUGACGUACGACUCCGCGGGGGCGCGCGUGGUAAGCACGGUCGCGCCCACGUCGAGGUGGAACGUUUACCUGGCAGAUCAUGGAUGGAGGCUGGGGCUGCGGUGCUCCUCGUACUGCUGCCCUGAACAACUUGUGAGUCCAGAAGAAACCCGUUUUGUUUGUUUGUUUAUUUAGAUCGCACGCUUAUCCUUUGACAUCACAAAGUCGAUUACAUUACAGUGCUGGUGUUUUUCUGAAACAUAACAAGGUCUGGGGCUGCGGUACGUGUCCAUGGAUGCUCUGGCUGCAAUGAGGUGGCUUCUUGUGUGGUCUCCCAGCAAACUUUAUGAUUUAUUCAGCUAAAGGCAGAGGAGCACGACCCCCAGUGACCACAGAGAGAGAGCUGCACGUGGGUUUAAUGAUUUCACCACAAAAAUGUCUGCUAUGGCUGGGCCUGCAAAGAGCGGAGAGCCCCCCCACUGGAUGGAUGAGGAGUUAGGGGGUUGAAAGAGAGCCUGGCUGACCGGACUAAGUCAAUUCAAAUCUUACCACUACAUCUGUAGAUGCAGGGAUUAGGAUGGAAGAAGAUGGCAGGAAGCUACAUCCAUUGGCUGGUUGCAAAUGUUUUGAACUCUCAUCUUUCAGCAACUCCUAAGUGUUUCCUCAGAUUGUGUUUUUCUUCAUUAAACAUUCCUUUAAAAAAUGUU